AUGUGUCUAGCUCGAAUCUAUUUUUGUCAUGGUCAAAGGGUUGGGCUUAGAUUCUUUCUGGAUUCUGAGGACUAGUAGGGGUUUCUUGCUUGUUUGGUUUUGGGCCUUUUUGUGUGACGUAAAAGGAGGGAAAGUGUUUUUAUGUAGCAGGAGACAACUCACGCUACUAGCUAUGACUGUUUGAUUGAAAAUGUUUUAUUUUAUUGCAUGAGAUUGUUUUCACAAGCUGGAUUUGCGUAGAGAGGUGGUGAUGUUUUUGGAUCAUGGACAGCUCACGCUUGGUGCUCAAACUUCACAACACACAUGUUAAAAAAGAGUGAAAACCUAGUUUCUUUAUUGGUAUUUUAUUCAAGUACUACAUGCAUAUGUAACUGCCCAAGUGGCUUUUUCUUG
rnacentral:lncRNA from 1 species